rnacentral:rRNA from 1 species
UACGUAGGGGGCUAGCGUUGUCCGGAAUCAUUGGGCGUAAAGAGCGUGUAGGCGGUCCGGUAAGUCCGCUGUGAAAGUCGGGGGCUCAACCCUCGAAUGCCGGUGGAUACUGUCGGGCUAGAGUGCGGAAGAGGCGAGUGGAAUUCCUGGUGUAGCGGUGAAAUGCGCAGAUAUCAGGAGGAACACCUAUUGCGAAGGCAGCUCGCUGGGACGUUAUUGACGCUGAGACGCGAAAGCGUGGGGAGCGAACAGG